AGACACUCUCUCAUAUCCAUCUCACCCCUUUGUGCAUUGCCGCGUGGGUCCCCUUUUGGCUUGUUCCGAGGGGGACCUGCGUUUUUACAUAGACACCCUUUGAAUGCAUGUGUAGAACGUCUUACUUUUUGCGAUCACACGCAAUCAAUACAACUUUCAACAACGGAUCUCUUGGCUCUCGCAUCGAUGAAGAACGCAGCGAAAUGCGAUACGUAAUGUGAAUUGCAGAAUUCAGUGAAUCAUCGAAUCUUUGAACGCACCUUGCGCCCCUUGGUAUUCCGAGGGGCACACCCGUUUGAGUGUCGUGAAUACUCUCAACCUUCUUGGUUUCUUUGACCACGAAGGCUUGGACUUUGGAGGUUUUUCUUGCUGGCCUCUUUUGAAGCCAGCUCCUCCUAAAUGAAUGGGUGGGGUCCGCUUUGCUGAUCCUCGACGUGAUAAGCAUUUCUUCUACGUCUUAGUGUCAGCUCGG
rnacentral:rRNA from 1 species